rnacentral:rRNA from 1 species
AUUAUUAAAUAGCCGCAUUUGUGCUAAGGUAGCAUAAUCACUCGUCUUUUAAUUGAAGACUAGAACAAAAGAUUUAAUAUUUAAAUUAAUUUUUCUAAAUAAAGAAUCAAAAUUAUCUUAAAUGUAAAAAGACAUUUAUUUUUAAGAAAAACGAUAAGACCCUAUUGAACUUAACUUCAGUUAAACUGGGGCAGUAAAGUAAUUAUCAUUUUACAAAAACUUCAUACAUCAAAAUCCGAUUAAAUCGACUAAUUCAGUUACCAUAGGGAUAACAGCGCAAUUAUUUUUUCAAGUCCUCAUUCUAAAAAUAUCUUACGACCUCGAUGUUGAAUUAAUUACCUAUUUAAAGCAAGAUUUACUUAAGGAAGUCCGUUCGACUUUUAAAUAAUUACAUGAUUUGAGUUCAGACCGGUGUAAGCCAGGUCGGUUUCUAUUUUCUAUAUAAAUUUUUACAGUACGAAAGGACCUAAAAAAUUAAUUUAAUUAUCUUAUUGGCAGAAAAAUGCAUUAGAAUUAGAAUCUAACAAAACUUAA